rnacentral:other from 1 species
UUAACCCUGCUAUGCAGGUGAUGUUGCAAAAAAGUUUUGUACCAACACUCAAUAAAAAGUCUCAAUUUCGUAGAGAUUACGCGAUAGGCUAGAGCCAAGGCGAAAGUUCUGCGUUAGAGACAUCCUGUGAAAGCAGGUUCAAAACCUAGCAACACACGGCAUUGGCGGGGUUUAU